GACAGGGUCGCCUUUGGCGCCAAUGUGAGAGAGCUCUGGCUUAUGGAUGCCUUUGAGGUUCACAAGAGAAGGAAGUGAUAGCUUGAUGGGGAUUGCCACGCUGAGGGCCAGAAAGAAAACGUCCAGAAGCCCAACUAGCUGGAUAAUGGUUGUGUCCAUGGAGACAGCAGAGUGAUUGUCUGUGAGCUACCUGCAGCCUCAGAUUCCAGAAGUUCCUCUCGUAAAGAUGUUUAUGCUGCACAAAUGUCAUAGCUGGCAUCAUCUUAGAAGAGGCAUCCCCACCCAUAUGUGUGAGAAAAGGGAGA